rnacentral:rRNA from 1 species
UACGUAGGGUGCAGGCGUUAAUCGGAAUUACUGGGCGUAAAGCGUGCGCAGGCGGCUUCGCAAGUCAGACGUGAAAUCCCCGGGCUUAACCUGGGAAUGGCGUUUGAAACUACGGAGCUGGAGUGUGGCAGAGGGAGGUAGAAUUCCACGUGUAGCGGUGAAAUGCGUAGAUAUGUGGAGGAAUACCGAUGGCGAAGGCAGCCUCCUGGGCCAACACUGACGCUCAUGCACGAAAGCGUGGGGAGCAAACAGG